rnacentral:rRNA from 1 species
AUUGAACGCUGGCGGCAGGCCUAACACAUGCCAGUCGAGCGGAUGAAGGGAGCUUGCUCCUGGAUUCAGCGGCGGACGGGUGAGUAAUGCCUAGGAAUCUGCCUGGUAGUGGGGGAUAACGUCCGGAAACGGGCGCUAAUACCGCAUACGUCCUGAGGGAGAAAGUGGGGGAUCUUCGGACCUCACGCUAUCAGAUGAGCCUAGGUCGGAUUAGCUAGUUGGUGGGGUAAAGGCCUACCAAGGCGACGAUCCGUAACUGGUCUGGGAGGAUGAUCAGUCACACUGGAACUGAGACACGGUCAAGACUCCUGCGGGAGGCAGCAGUGGGGAAUAUUGGACAAUGGGCGAAAGCAUGAUACAGCCAUGCCGCGUGUGUGAAGAAGGUCUUCGGAUUGUAAAGCACUUUAAGUUGGGAGGAAGGGCAGUAAGUUAAUACCUUGCUGUUUUGACGUUACCAACAGAAUAAGCACCGGCUAACUUCGUG